rnacentral:lncRNA from 1 species
GCCGAACCCCGGAUUUCAAAAGAUCAAUUUGUCCAGAUGUGUCGUCACUUGUCACACGCAAAUUGCUUUGCGGAAAUCUCGGGCAAUUUGUCGAAGCACCAAUUCAGAAAUCGAAGAGGGAAAUUCAACAGUCAAAGACACGCUAGCUUUCUCAAAAGCUGGGUUUCAACCCACGGGAAAAUCUUCUUUUCCAGAUUUAUCCGCACGUGUCACA